rnacentral:rRNA from 1 species
AUACGGAAGGUCCGGGCGUUAUCCGGAUUUAUUGGGUUUAAAGGGAGCGCAGGCGGAGAUGCAAGCGUGACGUCAAAUUUCGGGGCUCAACCCCGUCUCGCGUCGCGAACUGCGUCCCUUGGUUGCGGGAAGGGGAGGCUGAAAUCGCGGUGUAGGGGUGAAAUGCAUAGAUAUCACGAAGAACACCGAUGGCGAGGGCAGCCUUCCGGCCCGUCAACGACGCUCAUGCUCGAAGGUGCGGGUAUCAAACAGGAUUAGAUACCCUGGUAGUCCGCACAGUAAAUGAUGGACACCCGCGGUUUGGCCUGUAUGGCUGAGCCGCCAAGCGAAAGCGUUAAGUGUCCCACCUGGGGAGUACGCCGGCAACGGUGAAACUCAAAGGAAUUGGCGGGG